GACGAACGCUGGCGGCGUGCUUAACACAUGCAAGUCGAACGGUAAGGCUCCAGCUUGCUGGGGUACACGAGUGGCGAACGGGUGAGUAACACGUGGGUGACCUGCCCUGCACUUCGGGAUAAGCCUGGGAAACUGGGUCUAAUACCGGAUAGGACCGCACCGUGAGGGUGUGGUGGAAAGUUUUUUCGGUGUGGGAUGGGCCCGCGGCCUAUCAGCUUGUUGGUGGGGUAAUGGCCUACCAAGGCGGCGACGGGUAGCCGGCCUGAGAGGGUGGACGGCCACAUUGGGACUGAGACACGGCCCAGACUCCUACGGGAGGCAGCAGUGGGGAAUAUUGCACAAUGGGCGGAAGCCUGAUGCAGCGACGCCGCGUGGGGGAUGACAGCCUUCGGGUUGUAAACUCCUUUCACCAUCGACGAAGGGUUUCUGACGGUAGAUGGAGAAGAAGCACCGGCUAACUACGUGCCAGCAGCCGCGGUAAUACGUAGGGUGCGAGCGUUGUCCGGAAUUACUGGGCGUAAAGAGCUCGUAGGUGGUUUGUCGCGUCGUCUGUGAAAUUCCGGGGCUUAACUCCGGGCGUGCAGGCGAUACGGGCAUAACUUGAGUACUGUAGGGGAGACUGGAAUUCCUGGUGUAGCGGUGAAAUGCGCAGAUAUCAGGAGGAACACCGGUGGCGAAGGCGGGUCUCUGGGCAGUAACUGACGCUGAGGAGCGAAAGCAUGGGGAGCGAACAGGAUUAGAUACCCUGGUAGUCCAUGCCGUAAACGGUGGGCGCUAGGUGUGGGUUUCCUUCCACGGGAUCCGUGCCGUAGCUAACGCAUUAAGCGCCCCGCCUGGGGAGUACGGCCGCAAGGCUAAAACUCAAAGGAAUUGACGGGGGCCCGCACAAGCGGCGGAGCAUGUGGAUUAAUUCGAUGCAACGCGAAGAACCUUACCUGGGCUUGACAUAUACAGGAUCGCGCCAGAGAUGGUGUUUCCCUUGUGGCUUGUAUACAGGUGGUGCAUGGUUGUCGUCAGCUCGUGUCGUGAGAUGUUGGGUUAAGUCCCGCAACGAGCGCAACCCUUGUCUUAUGUUGCCAGCACGUUGUGGUGGGGACUCGUAAGAAACUGCCGGGGUUAACUCGGAGGAAGGUGGGGAUGACGUCAAAUCAUCAUGCCCCUUAUGUCCAGGGCUUCACACAUGCUACAAUGGUCGGUACAGUGGGUUGCCAGUCCGUGAGGGCGAGCUAAUCCCGCAAAGCCGGUCUCAGUUCGGAUCGGGGUCUGCAACUCGACCCCGUGAAGUCGGAGUCGCUAGUAAUCGCAGAUCAGCAACGCUGCGGUGAAUAAAUUCCCGGGCCU
rnacentral:rRNA from 1 species